rnacentral:lncRNA from 1 species
AAUCUCAGAGAUGACUGUCCUCUGGGGAGGAGUUGAAGGUGUCGGAGAUGACUGGCUUUGGGCAGCCAUGAAUGACUCCAUCAGGGCAGUAAAUCUGGCUACUUCCUCCUUAAGCUCACGGUUUUCUUGCUCCAAAUGAUCCAUUAGUCUUGAUGCGUUGGCUCGGGUGUAGUACCAGUGAGUCAGCUUGUCUUCAAAAUAAAUGAAG